CCUUAAUUACGAGUAAAGGUACAGACAUCGACGAAAAUAUUGCUAACCAAAAUCAUGCUACCCGUACACGUACACCGAAACCGGGGUAUCUUAACCUCUCUAUUAUCAGUAUUAUGAUAAAUUCGCGGCACAUUUUGAAUAAAUUCGCGGCACCUAACACUAAUCCCAACCCUAACCACUAACCCCUAACCCUAGCUUUUUU